ACUGAGCUCACUUGCCAGGUUUUUUUGGCUUUGCCAUCUCAUUUUCCAGUUUUUACAAAUACUUCUUUCUCCCAGGAGGGUGUAUGAAAGAGCUGCACAGAGCAGACGGCUGCUGCUCCUGCAGGCAGGGAGUGAAUUGUAUGCAUCUGCAGGGCAGCAGUGGAUGUUGGAGAGCAAUAUUUACUUAAUACAUGAGGGACAUUUACACUUCUAGAAAAUUCAGGCUCAUGUAACUUGGCCCAUUGUGUGCUGUGCUGGGCUCAGCCCUGGGGCAUGAGGUCUGUGCUGUGGCUCCUUGGAUGGAAGGGAACUGAACGUGGGUUAACCAGGCUGCUGCCAUCACGCCAGUAUUGGGCAGAAGCUCAGCAGCCAUUAAAUUAAAAAUGAGAAGGAAUGUGUCAACUCUGAUGAUGUUUUCAAAGCUAAGAAGUUGAAAUGAAUAAUUGUGACACUAUAAUUCUACUUCAGUAAUGCUGAAACAUUUUGUCAUACACAGCACAGGCUCCAGAAGUCCCAAAUCCCCAGAAGCUCCAGAAGCCCCAAGAGCUUGCCAUCAAAGUGGAAGACAAGGGUCACCAGAUGGACAGAGACAGAUGGAGAACUGCAAAGAAACCAGGAGACACGACAGACACAAAAGCAUGGAGACCAGGGUACCAGCAUAUGGCUAAAUAUAAUAAUAAAUUCAUUUACAACUAAUACUUGUUGUGGUGAAGGUUACUAGCUCAAACUACCUAGUAAGACUUCUGUGAGCAAUAGUAGACUGUGGUACGCUCUGAAGUUGAAGGCAGCUGUAAAGACUUCCUGUGUGUUUAGAUUUCCCGAGAAACUGUAAGGCAGAAGUGCGAGCAUUAGCUCUUCUCUGGGAGAAGCUAAAGGGACUUAGCACAGCUACAGGACACAGCGUGAAGCCCCUUCAGCAUGCCAGGACUCAGCCUUUUGACUUUCAGCCAUCCCAGUCAGACACUUUCCAAGCCACUGCCUGCACUGGAGCCUGCUGAUGCUCCAGUCCUUGUAAUUUAAGUGCUCCCAGUCAGCCCCUCUGGGAUCCAGAGGUGACGAGGGAAAAAUUACCACAACAGCCUUGCAAAUCUGCCACGCAAGACAGAAACCUUCCAGACCUUGGACCCGACAGUCAGCCCCAUCACUCCUAACUCUGCAGCCAGUCGUGGUUUAACCCCAGCCAGUAACAAAACCCCACACAGCCACUCGCUCACUCCCCUGCAGCAGGAUGGGAGAGAGAAUCAGAAGAGUAAAAGUGAGGAUCCUUAAUAAGUAAAGCAAAAGCUGAGCAUGCAAGCAAAGCAAAAUAAGAAAUUCAUUCACCACUUCCCAUGGACAGGCAGGUGUUCAACCAUCUUCAGGAAAGCCAGGCUCUAUCAUGCGUAAUGGUUAUUUGGGAAGAUAAAUGCCAUCACUCCGAACAUCCUCCCCUUCCUUCUUCUUCCCUCCAAAUAUAUACUGAACAUGAUGCAUGUGGUAUGGAAUAUCCCUUUGGCCAGUUGUGUUCAGCUGUCCUGGCUGUGCCCCGUCCCAGCUUCUUGUGCACUUGGCAGGGCAUGGGAAUUUGAAAAGUCCUUGACUACUUAGCAACAACUAAAACAUUAUCAACAUCAAUCACAUUCUAAAUCCAAAACACAGGACUACACCAGCUACUAGGAAGAAAAUGAACUCUUACUCAGCUGAAACCAGGACACAGCCUGAGGAUACAACAUUCCUCACCCAGCAAGUGAAAGCCCCAGCUGGGACCAGAAGCCUGAGCUGACUCCUGUGCAAGCGCAGCAAGUCAUGCGACUGUGUUCCUGCUAGGACCACCUGUGCUACCAUCAUCACAUGGCAAGGUAGGGCGUGGAUAAAUGGGAGAGCAAGGCAGAGAUGGAGUUGUCAUGACUGGGAGCCAUGCCUACCAUCACUGGGGAAGCUCUGCCAGUCUUAACAGUGGUGAGAGACUUUUGCCAUUUGAGGUAAGUUCUAACAAACAGGUAAGAUUCAUGAAUAAGGAAGCUUCAGAAGGAGCUACAUCCCACCUAAGCAGCUCUCUCCAGUGUGAAGGCAACCAGCCAUGUGGGCAGUCAUGGGUUUGUGAGCACUUUGAUCUGCUCCCGUCAUGUUGAUACAUCUCCUUUCAGUCAUUCCAGGCUGGGCUGGCAGGUCCAAAUAUAGU